rnacentral:rRNA from 1 species
GAUGAACGCUGGCGGCGUGCUUAACACAUGCAAGUCGAACGGAAAGGCCUCUGCUUGCAGGGGUACUCGAGUGGCGAACGGGUGAGUAACACGUGGGUGAUCUGCCCUGCACUUCGGGAUAAGCCUGGGAAACUGGGUCUAAUACCGGAUAGGACAAUGGUUUGGAUGCUGUUGUGGAAAGUUUUUCGGUGUGGGAUGAGCUCGCGGCCUAUCAGCUUGUUGGUGGGGUAAUGGCCUACCAAGGCGUCGACGGGUAGCCGGCCUGAGAGGGUGUACGGCCACAUUGGGACGGAGAUACGGCCCAGAAUCCUACGGGAGGCAGCAGUGGGGAAUAUUGCACAAUGGGCGCAAGCCUGAUGCAGCGACGCCGCGUGGGGGAUGACGGCCUUCGGGUUGUAAACUCCUUUCGCUAGGGACGAAGCGUUUUUGUGACGGUACCUGGAGAAGAAGCACCGGCUAACUACGUG